CAAGCAGUGUUACCACCGCCUAAAUUUCCCUGCUCACCUCAGCGUUUUCCUCGCCUAGUACCAGGAGGUGCUCGUGCUCGUCGCGUCGUUGGAGUCGAGGGCGAGGGGUCGACGCGGCCCUGCGUCCUGGCCGUCUUGGCCUGGGCUACCUUCAGACCAGGCUUGGGUGCGGCUCUUGCUCAGCGCGGCAAAGGAGGCGGUCGGGGCGGCGGCGGCUUUAUAGACACCUGUAGCACACAGUACCCUACAGCAGCAA